AUUGGACUGUUGGCGAAUGAUCUGGAACAGAUAGGUUACAUUGAACUGUUGGCGAAUGAUCUGGAACAAAUAGGUUACAUUGAACUGUUGGCGAAUGAUCUGGAACAGAUAGGUUACAUUGAACUGUUGGUGAAUGAUCUGGAACAGAUAGGUUACAUUGAACUGUUGGCGAAUGAUCUGGAACAGAUAGGUUACAUUGAACUGUUGGCGAAUGAUCUGGAACAGAUAGGUUACAUUGAACUGUUGGCGAAUGAUCUGGAACAGAUAGGUUACAUUGAACUGUUGGCGAAUGAUCAGGAACAGAUAGGUUACAUUGAACUGUUGGCGAAUGAUCUGGAACAGAUAGGUUACAUUAAACUGUUGGCGAAUGAUCUGGAACAGAUAGGUUACAUUGAACUGUUGGCGAAUGAUCUGGAACAGAUAGGUUACAUUGAAC